rnacentral:tRNA from 1 species
GAAUAUAGCUCAGUGGUAGAGCGGUCGGCUCAUAACCGAUUGGUCACAGGUUCGAACCCUGUCGGGCC